AACAACCUCAUCAAUUGGAAGGAAUGCCUUCCAAUCAAUGAGGUUUAUAACAACCUCAUUGAUUGGAAGGAAUUCCUUCUGAUUGAUGAGGUUUUU
rnacentral:miRNA from 1 species